AGGUCAAGCUACAAAGGGCGCAUGGUGAAUGCCUUGGCAUCAGGAGCCGAUGAAGGACGCGAUAAGCUGCGAUAAGCUUCGGGUAGACGCACAUAGUCAGAGAUCCGAAGAUUUCCGAAUGAGGAAACUCACAUGGGAAACCCCAUGUAUCGUAAAGUGAAUACAUAGCUUUAUGAAGGUAAACCCAGGGAACUGAAACAUCUAAGUACCUGGAGGAAGAGAAAGAAAAAUCGAUUUUCUUAGUAGCGGCGAGCGAAAGGGAAAGAGCCCAAACCAAAGAUUUAUCUUUGGGGUUGCGGACAGAACAUUAACGAGAAAUUAUGGUUAACCGAACACAACUGGAAAGUUGGACCGUAGGGGGUAAUAGUCCUGUAGGUGAAAAUUAUAAUGAUCAAGUUCUGAUCCAGAGUACCACGAGACACGUGAAACCUUGUGGGAAGCAGGGAGGACCACCUCCCAAGGCUAAAUACUACCUGAUGACCGAUAGUGAAGCAGUACCGUGAGGGAAAGGUGAAAAGAACCCCGGGAGGGGAGUGAAAUAGAACCUGAAACCAUGUGCCUACAACCGAUCAAAGCACCUUAUGUGUGUGAUGAUGUGCUUUUUGUAGAACGAGCCAACGAGUUACGGUAUGUAGCAAGGUUAAGUACUUAAGGUACGGAGCCGAAGGGAAACCGAGUCUUAAUAGGGCGACUAGUUGCAUGCUGUAGACCCGAAACCGGGUGACCUAUCCAUGGCCAGGUUGAAGCGAGGGUAAAACCUCGUGGAGGACCGAACCACGUUGCUGUUGAAAAAGCAUGGGAUGAGCUGUGGAUAGCGGAGAAAUUCCAAUCGAACUCGGAUAUAGCUGGUUCUCCUCGAAAUAGCUUUAGGGCUAGCGUCGGAAAAUGUGAGUACUGGGGGUAGAGCACUGAAUGGGCUAGGGGGCAUAGCGCUUACCGAACCUUAUCAAACUCCGAAUACCAGAUACUAUCAGUCCGGCAGUCAGACUGCGAAAGAUAAGUUCCGUAGUCAAAAGGGAAACAGCCCAGAUCGUCAGCUAAGGUCCCAAAGUGUAAGUUAAGUGGAAAAGGAUGUGGGAUUUCUAAGACAACUAGGAUGUUGGCUUAGAAGCAGCCACUCAUUAAAAGAGUGCGUAAUAGCUCACUAGUCAAGAGAUCCUGCGCCGAAAAUGUCCGGGGCUCAAACUUACCACCGAAGCUACGGGUUCACACAAUAGUGUGAGCGGUAGAGGAGCGUCGUAAUCGGGCUGAAGUCGUACCGUAAGGAGCGGUGGACUGAUUACGAGUGAGAAUGUUGGCAUUAGUAGCGAGAUGUGGGUGAGAAUCCCACAGGCCGAAUACCUAAGGUUUCCUCAGGAAGGUUCGUCCGCUGAGGGUUAGUCGGGACCUAAGCUGAGGCCGAAAGGCGUAAGCGAUGGACAAUCGGUUGAUAUUCCGAUACCACUAUUAUCGUUAUUAUCGAUGGUGUGACGGAGAAGGAUAGGAUGUGCUAGCUAUUGGAUGCUAGUCUAAGCGUUUAGGGAGUUAGGAUAGGCAAAUCCGUUCUAACAAUUCUGAGGCGUGAUGGGGAAGGUUCUAAGGAACCGAAGUAUCUGAUUCCAUGCUUCCAAGAAAAGCAUCUAGAAAGAGAAAUAGUGCCCGUACCGCAAACCGACACAGGUAGGUGAGGAGAGAAUCCUAAGGCCGGCGGAAGAAUUGCAGUUAAGGAACUAGGCAAAUUGACCCCGUAACUUCGGGAGAAGGGGUGCCUGCGAGAGCAGGCCGCAGAGAAUAGGCACAAGCAACUGUUUAACAAAAACACAGG
rnacentral:rRNA from 1 species